GUGAAUCAUCAAAUCUUUGAACGCAAAUUGCACUCUCUGGUAUUCCGGAAAGUAUGCCUGUUCGAGGGUCAGUUAAAUACAAAUCGGUGUUGUUGCUGCCUUUCGCGGUGACGCGUCGGAACUGGGUCGUCUUAUUAUCGGUUAAGUGACUUAAACUUUUUGCUUGAUUUUCGAACGUAUUUAAAUCGCUUACGUACGUUAGAGAUAUCGAAUGUUUAUUCGUUUUGUUCAUUUUUACGAU
rnacentral:misc_RNA from 1 species